rnacentral:rRNA from 1 species
AAGGGGUGCUUUCUUAACGGAAAGCCGCAGUGAAUAGGCCCAAGCGACUGUUUAGCAAAAACACAGCUCUCUGCGAAGCCGUAAGGCGAAGUAUAGGGGGUGACACCUGCCCGGUGCUGGAAGGUUAAGGAGAGGGGUUAGCGUAAGCGAAGCUCUGAACUGAAGCCCCAGUAAACGGCGGCCGUAACUAUAACGGUCCUAAGGUAGCGAAAUUCCUUGUCGGGUAAGUUCCGACCCGCACGAAAGGUGUAACGAUUUGGGCACUGUCUCAACCAGAGACUCGGUGAAAUUAUAGUACCUGUGAAGAUGCAGGUUACCCGCGACAGGACGGAAAGACCCCGUGGAGCUUUACUGUAGCCUGAUAUUGAAUUUUGGUACAGUUUGUACAGGAUAGGCGGGAGCCUUUGAAACCGGAGCGCUAGCUUCGGUGGAGGCGCUGUUGGGAUACCGCCCUGACUGUAUUGAAAUUCUAACCUACGGGUCUUAUCGACCCGGGAGACAGUGUCAGGUGGGCAGUUUGACUGGGGCGGUCGCCUCCUAAAGUGUAACGGAGGCGCCCAAAGGUUCCCUCAGAAUGGUUGGAAAUCAUUCGUAGAGUGCAAAGGCAUAAGGGAGCUUGACUGCGAGACCUACAAGUCGAGCAGGGACGAAAGUCGGGCUUAGUGAUCCGGUGGUUCCGCAUGGAAGGGCCAUCGCUCAACGGAUAAAAGCUACCCCGGGGAUAACAGGCUUAUCUCCCCCAAGAGUCCACAUCGACGGGGAGGUUUGGCACCUCGAUGUCGGCUCAUCGCAUCCUGGGGCUGUAGUCGGUCCCAAGGGUUGGGCUGUUCGCCCAUUAAAGCGGUACGCGAGCUGGGUUCAGAACGUCGUGAGACAGUUCGGUCCCUAUCCGUCGUGGGCGUAGGAAAUUUGAGAGGAGCUGUCCUUAGUACGAGAGGACCGGGAUGGACGCACCGCUGGUGUACCAGUUGUUCUGCCAAGGGCAUAGCUGGGUAGCUAUGUGCGGAAGGGAUAAGUGCUGAAAGCAUC